CAAUCUUUUUUACAUUUUUGAAAUGUUUUUUGUUUUGUUUUGUUUUC
rnacentral:sRNA from 1 species